GUGUGUUUUAAAGCUUUUCAAUACAUUCUACGUCUAUUUGAACAUGUAUUUUACAUUGCGAAAGGAAAGACCUCUCAAUUGUUCAAGAACAAUUGACAGUUUAAUUAUUAUUAUUUUUUUUUUUUCUUCCGCCAACUUUUUUUCCUUCGCUGUUUUUUUGUUUCACAAGAUGUCGCUUAGAUAUAUGGUAUAUGAUAUCGAACAGUUAAUACGCUUCUGAAACUGACACCGCGUAACAAAAAACUUUACCUUGUAAGAGUUAUCUCCCCGAACACUGUUUUUCUUGUUAUCUCUAAGGCUUCGCAACCGUAUAAGAAACCGACAAAUUUAUUUUUCCAAAUUGCUCGUUAUAUCCUCAGGAUGUUCUGUUUUAUUUUGACCGAAGCUAUCCGGAGACUCCAUAUGAGAGUUAUCCCCCUUUUAUAUAUGAUAUAAGUGAUAUGCAUUUCUAACUGGUAAACCAUAAGUGAUAGAGACCUAGGGUCUUUUGAUUUAAGAUCCUUGGUCCAAAAAAAUGAAAAUUAGGUCAAGGUCAAAGGUCAAGGUCAAAUUCUAAAUUUUGAUUUUGGCUUAUUUUCACUUAUUUUCAUUAACCUUAUAAGAUAUCGACAAAUUAUUUUUACUAAAUUGUUAGUUGCGACAUGUCGUAACUUAUAAAUUUUGGUUGCAAGGGUGCGUAGACAAUAAAUGGGAGUUUUUCGCCCCUCUUAUAUUUAGAAUUAUGCGUAAAGUGAUAUUACUCAUGAACCAUACAUAUUAAGGAACUAGUGUCUUUUGAUUUGAGAUGUUUAGUCUAUGACCUUGAAAUUGAGGUCAAGGUCAUAGGUUAAUUGGACGUUCUAGAUUUUGACCUUUGCUUUAAAUUCAUAUUUAUACAUCAUAAAGCCAUAGGAACUGACAUUUUCAACUGAAUUUUAAUAUUUUCAUAUCAAAAUAGAUCUUUAUUAGUUGAAAGACCUUCAAUUGUUCUCUGAACAAUUGGUUUUUAAUUAUUAUUUUCCAUUUCCGUGGAAAGACCUAUUGGAUUUCUUCUGAUUAUUAUUAUUUUUUUUUUUUUUUUCUUCCGCCUAAUUUUUUUCCUUCGCUGUUUUUUUGUUUCGCAAGAUGUCGCUUAGAUUUUUGGAAUAUGAUAUCGAACAGUUUAUACGCUUUUGAAACCAACUCUGCUUAACCAAAUACUUUCCCAAAUAAGAGUUAUCUCCCCAAACACUGUUUUUCUUGUUAUCUCUAAGGCUUCGCAACCGUAUAAGAAACCGACAAAUUUAUUUUUCCAAAUUGCUCGUUAUAUCCU
rnacentral:lncRNA from 1 species